rnacentral:rRNA from 1 species
UACGUAGGGUGCAAGCGUUGUCCGGAAUUAUUGGGCGUAAAGAGCUCGUAGGCGGUUUGUUGCGUCGGCUGUGAAAUCCCGAGGCUCAACCUCGGGUCUGCAGUCGAUACGAGCAAACUAGAGUGUUGCAGGGGAGACUGGAAUUCCUGGUGUAGCGGUGAAAUGCGCAGAUAUCAGGAGGAACACCGGUGGCGAAGGCGGGUCUCUGGGCAACAACUGACGCUGAGGAGCGAAGGCUAGGGGAGCGAACGGG